CAAGGAGCGACCCCGCCCCCUCCCCCCCGCUGCGCGGCGAGCACGUGCGGAGAGGCAGUUUCGGAUUUAAAGAGUUCAUGGGGGGAAGCCUCGGGCCCCCUACUCCUCCCUUCAGGCUCCGGGAGCGUUCGGCAUGGAAGAGAAACCCUCCUGUGUGCUGCCGCCAUGUGCACCACCUGAUGCAUGCCCUCCUGCUCUUUCCAGAGGCUGUGAAGAAUAAUCAUCCGCCUUCAAGGCCACACGGGCUGACAAAAGACAAGAAAACAGUGGAUGCCGCAAAGGGGAAGGAAGUUUGUCCCCACAACACGUGUGCAAGUCAGACCCCUCCAAGCAUCAGGUAACAGGGGAGCCUCUUCCGGCCCCUGCUUGUUGCCUGGGUUCCUAGGACUUGAUCUUGUGGCACGGCCAUUAUCUUCUCCAUUCCCGAGUCCUGGCUCAGGAGGAGCAGGGCUCUGCUUGGCUCCAAACCAGCCAGAAGUCUCCCCUUGGACUCCUGUGGACUGCCCAUGCCCCAGUCCUUGCUGUGGCUUCUUCCCUGCAGGACCCUCUGGCUUUGUGACAGCAAAACAUAACCAGAAGAUUCCCACAUCUGCCUCCCAGACCUGGCCGGACGACACAGCCAGGCCCCCGGCUCUGGCAUGCAGCCUGGGACCCUCCAACUCCAGCAGAAUGGAAAUGAGUUAAAAACAUGCAAAGCUGAUUCUGCCCUCAGUCUCCCUCCAAACACAUGAAGCCGAUGGAUUUUUUUUCUCUUGAAAAGAUGAUUAUCCUUAAAAGUGGCUGAUUGAAAAUAGUGACUGCACCAGAAAUUCCACUUAGCUAAUACCGCAAAGUUACUAUUCUCCAGUCUCAGGCCAUUUCCCUGAUGACAGGCCACACACAGUGGUUGUGGCCACAGCACAACAGUGUUUGCUCAUGCUUUGCCCCUUCUGUUCCAACUCCCUUCCAACAUGUCCUGAUCCACAAAGAACUGUGCCUUCCCAGAAACCAGGCUGCAGUGGGACGGCUUUGGCAGACCCGCUGCCAGUUUCAGGGCUGGCAUAGUCAGUGCUUUUGGUCAUCUCUCAGUGUUACUUCUCCUAUCACUAUCAGUCCUAGCCUGAACAUGCAGUUAGUUCACAGUAGGACCAAGCAGAAUAAUUUGUUCAUAUUUCAAAAGUAAGCAGGGCUCAAAAUUGGAUACGGAAGAAAAAAGGAGGGGUGGAGAGAAGAAGGAAGAAAUUUAACCUCCUCUGUUCCCCCAAAUAGCGGCUGACACCACUUUCACACAUUUGUAGCUUUCAUUCUUGCAUUUGCAUCUGUGUGUAAAAUAUAUUUGAAAUUGCAACACUAUUGCAGUGGCGAGCAGAAACACCAAACAACACCCUGGACUUGGAGGCAGAUUUAUGUAUCUUGAAGGCAUGGAUUAGAAUCAUCCCAAAAUAUCAAACCCUGAUCUCUGGUGGUCUACAGUUUAUAUGAAAUAAGCAAGCAUGAAAUACAGAGGCAGAAUGACUUGUGAUUAAGGGAUUGGUUUAUUAUAUAAUGUGCAUCAUAGGGACCAGCUACGCAUCACAGCGACCAGCUGACCAGCCAUUUCUAAGAGACCAGAAACAGCCAGAACUAGAACAGGAACUGUUACCUGCACAACAGAGAAACUAAAGUAUCCUGGCUGGGGGAGCCUUUCUGUUACACCGGCCUUACUAUGAUGUGUGACUGUGUCCUAUUGUGCAAUAUGUCAUAACAACCAUUUCCAUUAUAUUGUUAGAGCAUUUAUAGUUUGAAUAAACUACACACUAUUUCUAUGAUUAAUAUAUAUUACAUUAACAUAAAACAUAACCAUUGUGCACGUUUCUAAUGUAUAAUAGGAUACUGUGCCCAAAAAAUUAACUUUUGGAGAAAGGAGUGGGUAUACUCUGAAAGCUUUCAGCAUACAAUAUCACAGAAAUUAGCACCAUUUUAUAAUCCUGUCACCAUAGUGGGCUUGAGAGAAUAUACUGACCUAAUCAGUGAUGUUUUUCUUUGUAGCAUCAUUUUUUUUUUAAAAUCCAUGGGUAAUUUUUUAAAUACAAGGAAAAAAUACACUCACUAUCAGUCUCCUUGGACACUAAUUUAACAUUGUGUUCUGUGAUGGCUCAUCUGUUCUCAUUUUCCUAAAGAGGAAACUCCUUGUGUUAGUAAACUGUUGUAGCAGUCUGAGUAAAAACACCCAACUAAAUUGGAUGAGCACAGUCCUGAGUGUGGCUGAGAUUUAUUGAAGACAGGUAGCCCGCCUUGGGUGCGAGUCAGCAACCAAUGGGCUUGGCACCUGAAUGGAAUAAAAGGGAAAGGAAAGAGGAAGUCUGUUUCUGUCCUUCGGAGGAGUCCAGACUUCACCUUCACCUUCACCUUGGAGCUCAUCUUCUGGCUUCCAGGAGACCUUCAGCCUCCUGAGAGGACUCGCAGGUGAGCUGCAGUGGCUCCAGGCCCCUGGCUGGCUCCUUCCGUCUCCAGCACUCACGCAUCCCUCUGAGCUCCUCCAUACCCAAACGCCAUGGGCAGCCACUGUAUGCCAAACUCGUUGGUCCUCAUGAAUGUGUACACCUUAUAUUAAAUCUGUUUCUCUAGUGACAAGGUCCCCUGAAGAACUUCAGCAAGUGCACUGCACCAUGGGGAUCACAGUGACUCUUGUCGUGCACUUUGCAAACUGCUGGUGUUCCGCUGCUUGGGCUGAAGACCCUUAGGAACUUCAUUUGGCCUAAGGACUCUAUGAAAAAUAGCUGCCUGGAAAGUGUGGCUUCAAGUUGCAGAUUGGAGGUGUUGUAUAGAAACCACAGCUGGAGACGCUAGUCUUUAGAAACUUGAAAGCAUCAUGAAGCACGCUUGUAAAGCCAAGCACUAACCUUGGUGAGGAGAGGCUUUCAGGAGGUAGCCUGGGCCUGCUCCACUGGGGAGUGGCUGUCUAUGGGGGCCCCAAGCCAGCCCUGUGCCUGCAGUCUGUGCCUGCAGCGAAGGCUGUGGUGAGUGAAGUGCCCUGCAGUCUUUGGAUCAGCUUGCGGUCUGGAGGAUGAGAAACAGGGCCACCUGUGUGGGCAGGUAGUUCUGUCCACAUUACUGCCCCUCCCCUGCAAAAGCUGAGGCCUGGGUGAGCUUCCCGGAUGGCCACUGGUUGCCAUACAA